GUUGAAACCAGUGAGGGUGAACACCCCUGAUUCCGUAUUGUGGCCAACCGGCAAGGUGCACAGAAGGCCAAAGCCUUCUACUUCAGUGCAGACCCCUCAGAUCCACAAAAGGCCUCCAAUCAUUGUGAGCUAUGGGCAGGACCAAACAUCUGGGGAUGGAUGGAGCGUCAAUCCAGAGCCUCUCAGCCAGUCUGGAAGGGUGACUCGGCUGAUAGAGAGAAAAAAUGAUGACGUGAUCUCAUCCUCCAGUUCUGAUGACUUUUCCAUCUACUCCUUCACUGACUGUGAA